rnacentral:lncRNA from 1 species
CAAAGAUGUGGCAACGAGAAGGGAAGCAACUGCUGAAAAUGGGCACUGGGGGGCAAAUGGGGCUGCCCACUAUGGGGUGAGUCGUGCUCAGGAGGAACAGAGCCCUGCACUGCUGGGGGGUCAGGCUAAGCAGGGCUGCCGAGAACUGCCUAUUUCUGGAGCAGACGGAAGCGCAGGGGAGCCCUGAGACUGGCAGCCUUGUGCUACUCUUACUGGUUCCUGAGCCAAGCGCUGGGACAUCUGGGGACAGGGCCAAGUGCAGGGAGGUCAGGAAGGCACGGUGGUGCUGCCUGCCAAGCUGGCUGUGCCAAGCCACUGGGCAGGACACUUAGAGGCAAAAGAUGAGCUCUGUCUGUCUCCCCUUCCCCAGGGGCUGCAGGCAGCACAGCGGUAUGGGUGUGGGGCCAGCAAGAGCUACCCCCGGAGCAGUGGGUGCCCCCCGCCGUGCAGUGUGGGGUUCCCUUGGGAGCAGCUGCAGGAAGGAGACAGGCGCAGGGCAGCAGGCGGCUGUGCCUCACCGCAUCCCCACGGCCCUGCGCUUUCAUCUCCCCAGCCCACACAAAGGGUGCCACCGAGAUGCAUGAAAAAGCAAGAGCAACAUGGGAGUGGGCCCCGGGGCAGCCGCCCUUCAUCUGCUCUGCUCGGAGUGACAGCCUACAACGACCUGCCACUCACCGGGCAGGCUGCACCCCGUGCCCGCAGCCCGCGGGCGCACACCGCACGUAGGCACUCCCCCUGCGCUCAGCCCCUCGAUGGGGGCGCAGCUCCUGCACCCGUGAACGUGGGGAGCCCCGGGAAUCGCUGCCCUCCCGCAGCCCGGUGCCGUGCCCAAGAUACCCGGCGCACAGCGGCCGUUCCCAGCCUCCCUCCCUCCGCAUCCAGCUGUUUUCUCAGUGCAGGAUCCAGACAGAGAGGGGGGUAAAAUGUUUUCAUUCCAAGCUCCCGGGGUCAGGUCAUGGUUUGUCUAAAUGGCUUUUGUUGCUGUAAUUAUCAGAUUAGCUGAUCUCUGGCAGCGCGUUUAGGGGCAGCUACAUUAACUACGAUCCCGAACCCCCCCACCCCCUGCCCAGCCCGGCGGGGGCAGCGGCUGUACGAAGCCACGAUGUGGGACAUUGAUGGUAUAAGAACUGUGUGGACGGUGUGCUCUUGCUUUGUGCCCAGCACACGGGAGCAGCACCUUUUGGGAAGAACCCAACCUGCAACACCACAGAGCCCCAUCCCAGGCACCUGCUCAGCAUGCAGCUAUGGGAUGGGGAUACAGAAGUGUCCCCCAUCAGGUGAUCCAUGUGGGUUCUGGAGGGCUCUGGGAUGAGGAAGCAGAGCAAGUGCAUGUCCAUGGGAGGGGCACCCUCCAAGUAGCAGGGAGGCAUGGGAACAGGAACACAAGAUAGCAGGGGAGAUGGAGAGUGUGCCGGGGAGAUGAGAGCGGGGCAAAGGGCAGAUAAAGUGGGACUGGGAGUUUCUAGCCAGACCAUCCCCGUGUCCAUCUGUCAGCGCCUCCAAGUGCCGAUGGCACCGGACCCUGGUGGCAGUCAGGACUGCCGGCCCCACCAUGGGGCACUGAUGGGGGCUCUCAGGGCUCCCAGCCCGUGGCCAUACUACUUUUCCACUGCCCAGCCUCAGGGGAAGAGGCCUGAGAGGUUUCUCCCACUCAAAACCCGCUUGUCACUCUGGAGUACAAGUGAGCACUCCCUUGUUUCCACCUCCUGCCUCAUCCUCUAAUUCCCAAAACGCCAUGUUCCUUCAGGAAGUACUGACUUCAGCAAAAUAUAAAUAUUAAUAAUAACAAAUAGUAGGAGACAUAUUCCAGCCAUUUUUCUUAAUUCCCACCAUGAAGGAGCUUGGUUAGCUACAAAGCUAUCUUCCCUGCUCCGGAAGCUGGGGUCUAACCCCAGGCAGCAAAGACAUGGGGCGCAUCCACCGCUUGCCUGGACUCGAGCUCUCCCACUGCUGGGCACCACCAGAGGCUCACCAGUGCUAUUUAAGACCAGUGGCACGCUGGUACUGGUGCUCCUGAGGACCAUGGCCAUUGCGUGAUCCACCUAGAAAACGAAACCCAUCAUUAGAGAUGUUUCCCUAAGGGUGCAAAGAACCGAGUGGAGAAGAAAGGCGGCUAUUGGUCCCCAGUAUCCCCACUGCUGUGUCAAGGCAUGGACUUCCGCACAGCUGGGGCUGGGGGGAUGGAGGCACAGCCGGUCCCAGCUGUCCCCUUCAGACAGCGUGCAUUACUCUGCCCCAUCAGGAUGAGAAC